rnacentral:rRNA from 1 species
UACGUAGGGGGCAAGCGUUGUCCGGAAUUAUUGGGCGUAAAGAGCUCGUAGGCGGUCUGUCACGUCGGCUGUGAAAACCUGGGGCUCAACUCCGGGCCUGCAGCCGAUACGGGCAGACUAGAGUUCGGCAGGGGAGACUGGAAUUCCUGGUGUAGCGGUGAAAUGCGCAGAUAUCAGGAGGAACACCGGUGGCGAAGGCGGGUCUCUGGGCCGAAACUGACGCUGAGGAGCGAAAGCGUGGGGAGCAAACAGG